rnacentral:rRNA from 1 species
AGCGAACGCUGGCGGCAGGCCUAACACAUGCAAGUCGAACGAUCCUUCGGGAUAGUGGCGGACGGGUGAGCAACACGUGGGAACGUGCCCUUUGGUUCGGAAUAACUCAGGGAAACUUGAGCUAAUACCGGAUGAGCCCUUCGGGGGAAAGAUUUAUCGCCAUUGGAGCGGCCCGCGUUGGAUUAGCUAGUUGGUGGGGUAAAGGCCCACCAAGGCUACGAUCCAUAGCUGGUCUGAGAGGAUGAUCAGCCACACUGGGACUGAGACACGGCCCAGACUCCUACGGGAGGCAGCAGUGGGGAAUCUUGCGCAAUGGGCGAAAGCCUGACGCAGCCAUGCCGCGUGAAUGAUGAAGGUCUUAGGAUUGUAAAAUUCUUUCACCGGGGACGAUAAUGACGGUACCCGGAGAAGAAGCCCCGGCUAACUUCGUGCCAGCCGCCGCAGUAAUAC